GAUUUCUAAGGUUGUUGUCCCCACAAAUUGGCAUUUCCCAAUGAAUCGUUACGAUAGACUGGUAUAUGUGAUUUGGGGCUGAUAUGAAAGCUCUGGUUAACUCUCCUCAGGCGCCAUCUUGGGGAUUCUUGUUUAGGUAGGUGCCUAUCUGUUGGCUUGCAUGUGCUCGACAAAGACUCCAAAGGCAGCAUCAACUCUCUAUUGACUUUGGUGUAGAGGGAAAAAACUCUUAUUGACUUAUGCCACUGAGACUUAUGUGGCUGGGGUUUUUUUUCCCCAGAGCAUCAGAACCAAUCCUAUUCUGAUUGCCCUACCAUUCUUCAAAUCAAGCUUCCAUGACAAAUAUUUUGAAGCUGUUUUUCAUUUCUCUCUACAUUUGGUGGCGGUGGGCACACAAUUUCACCCUUUUAUGUACACACACACACACACACACACACACACACACACACACACACGCAUACUUUAAUGACUAAAUACUGCUAAAAUCCUGUUUUUGCUGUUAGAAUCAACUAUAUUGAGAAAAUUUCUAAUAGGCUUGGGAGUUGAAAAAUGGAAAUUGAAAUAAAUCUCCCAGGUUUGCCCUGCCGAUGGCAGCCAAGUUUUCUGUUAAUGCAGGAAGUUUCUCAGCCUAAAUGGUUGGAGAGGCUGUGUUGAGAGAGGUGUCGCUGCAGAAGAAGAGGGAAUACUGAGGAUCGGACAGGGCUUUGAGGAUACAGCUGGGAAUGAUGGGAGUCUUUCAAAGCCUGUGUUGCCUGAUAGGUUAUCUCUUGGUAGCUCUGAAGAUCUUCUAGGAGUUUCAUGGUCUUAGAGAUGACUGAUUCUCUUGAGGAAAGGAGUGGAUGUACUUGGUGAAGUUUUGGGUCAGGUUUAUUUUUGUUUAAAAAGGGUGGUGGCGCACGCCUUUGAUCCCAGUUCUUGGGAGGCAGAGGCAGGUGGAUCUAAGUGAGCUCAAGGCCAACCUAAGUCACAGAACAGCCAUGGCUACACAGAGAAAUCCUGUCUUGGGGAACAAAGAAACAAACAAACAAACCAACCAAAACAAACCACCCCCCCCCAAACCAAAACAACAACAACAAAACCUCACCAAAAAACAAAAAAUAAAACAAAACAAGAAAACAAAAAAAUACAAAAACCAGAGUUACUGGUUUAGGAGAAAAAAUAGUAUCACAUUGGGAGGGCAUUUAUUUCUCCCAGGGAGAAGAGGUUCUAUACCACAUUCCACCGCAGGGAGGAGGGGUGAAAGAGAGGGAUUUUAUUCCAACUCCUUCUUUAUUCUGCCAUGUGCUUCAACCUUAACUGUGGAGUGGAGGGUCCCAUUGAGUCAAUGGCUGAUGAUAAUGAAAAGUAGUCCUGCUGAUAGGAAUGUGGAAGGGGCCAUGUCUGAGAUCAAGGGGAAGAUGGGAAUAAAUAUGAACCAAAUACAUUGUAUGCAUAUGUGAAAUUCUUAACUAAUAAUAGAAAUGUCCCCGUUGCUUCUUUCUCCAUGUUGAGAGGCAAACUGGCAUCAACAGGGAUGUGCCACACCACACAGCACAGGCCCUCUAAAAAGUCCUCUUUGUGUGUUAGCUUUUCUCGCUGAAGUCAUCUAAAGGCUCUUCCAUGAAGGCAUCAUUUUGGUUUGUAAGGGUUGGGAAAGAAAAAGAUCUCAUCAGCUACAGUCCUGUUCAUUGCAUAAUAUAUUUUCUUCUCUUAGCCUGAGCUCAACUACAUUUAAUUAUCUGAAUUUUCUCAACAUGAAGAAAACAGAUCCCAGAAAGGGUGAGAACUGGGGAGGCAAUGUGGAUAAAAAUGAGUUGCACUUUCUCUCCUCCAGUGUGUCUGCUCUGUCAUCCACAGCAAGGAGGAGAAACACGGUCCUGUUUUUGCCUGUUUGAAAACCACAUGAUGUUAGAAAAUCAUUUCCUCUCUUGCACAAACUUCAACACCAUCUGGAAUACCUCUUCUCUCUCUUCUGUGUAUAUCCCUGGUCAUCCAACUCUUUUCUGCUAAGUUGGGAGUGAGUUCCCCUUAUUUGACUUGUUCCUUCCUGUUUCUUACCUUUUAACUUUAAUUUCUCAGUCACAUUCAUAUUAUUCUUUACAUAAAAACAAAUGUAUAUAUGACCAGGGCCAUGUGGUGUCAGGGAUACGUCAAGAUACAUCUUCCUUGCUAUAUGUUAAAUACUAAGAACCAACUCUUUGGACUUCCAACUUCCAAUGCUAAUGAGAAGUGAGAAGGUUGAAAAUGACUGAACUAUCUAGCUUCCCAGGAAGCAGAAUUGAUAGCACAUGGACAGAGUGAGCUUCCGUCAGCAUGUCUCUGGUCCCGGCCACAGACCACAGGAGACUACUGCUCCUUGUUAAUAAACUAAAGUACAGCUAUCUUCUUUGAAGAUCUUUCAAUAACAAAUAUUUUUUUAAAAAAGAUCUGAGUUUUAUCUCAUGAUUAGUACUGGAGUACUUUGUCUUACUUGGCUUAUGUUUUGCAAAAUAAAAUACCAAAAAAAAAAAAAGAUAAUAAAGACCCAUUGUCUUCAGACAGCAUUCCUACCAACUGACUGAAGAAUUCUGUGCCACUUCUACAGUCCUGGGAAUUAUUAGAUAUGUGUCUCUUCAGGUUUAUGAAAAUAAACCCCUGGCUACAAUGCAGGUUCAUGUCAAAAUAUAAACAUUUUUGUCUCCAUCUUCACCUGUCUGUCUGUCUGUCUGUCUGUCUGUCUGUCUCUCUCUCUCUCUCUCUCUCUCUCUCUCUCUCUCACACACACACACACACACACACACACACACACACAUCCUCCAUUCUGCGGAGAAAGACUAGCUACAAUCUGGAAACUCUGAAGUCCAGUCUUGUCCUUUGCUCCAGAAACGAGUGGGAGCAUCCGCAUCAGCCUCCCUGACACAGCUCAGGGAAAGUGAUGUCCUCACAGACAAGGGGCUUCUGACACUUGUCUUUAUUACCCCAUCAUAAAUUCAUACCAGGAUGCCUGCUGUAGCCAGUUGGCAAGUUCACUGCAGAAGCACGAACACCGAUUUAAUGACUUGUGUACACAUCGUAAACUAGAGAAUCUUUAUACAAAGAAAUCAGAUAAAUCAAACAUGAGCGGAGGCUUGGGGAAAAGCAAUUAAAGCCUUAAGUUAAGGUGACUGUGGGAGGGCACUGUAUCGCAUCAGAGCAGAUAAUAGAAAAUGUGUUACUGCAACUA
rnacentral:lncRNA from 1 species